UUCCCUCUCAGAAACACAAAAAACACCAAUAAUUGUCCAACUUUUAGAUUAAAACCCACCCAAAUAAAGAACAAACCAAUGAACACUAUGAGUCUUCAUCUUUAUUUUUUCUCAAAAAUUUCAUAAAACGAACCAAAAUCUAAAAGUUUAAACACUAACCCAACCUACUUUCCUCUUCUAAACACCAUUUUAUAAUCAGAAUCCCUAAAAGAUAACAACAAUCACUAAAUCAGACAUUGCACAAAUUUGAAACUCUAACUCUAUAAUUUCCAACAAAACCAAAAGCAAACAUGUUCUUAACACAAACACACAUAUAUGCAUGCCAGGCAACGUAAAUCCAGAAGAAAAUGCUAAGAAAAAACUGAGGAAAAUACCAGGAAAUAAGGGAGGAGAUUUCUGGCAUGGUGGCGGCGAUUUUUGACGUGGCAGUGAUUCUCCAGACUGUGGCGAUGGGUGGAGGCUAAAGCUCAGUAAAUUAGAUUUUUAAUAUGGAACUUAAUUGACUUAACAACAGAGCUUUGGUAAGGAUUGGGGAUUGCAAGGAGAAGUUUGCGUUGCUGCCCUUUUAGUGUUUUCAAUGUUCUCUCCCAUUCCGUCAAAUUUUACGGCUUUUAUAGGUUGAUCAUUAGGUUUAGAAAUUAAAUUAGAUUGAUUUGUUUUUAGUAUGAUUAGAUUAGAUUCGAUUCAAGUUUGUAACAUAUUAUCUUAGGGCACACGUUUAUGUAUUCUUAUGGAAUGUAUCCAUGGGCCUCUGAAUUUUGUACCGAUCUAAUGAAUGAAAGGGCUUGAUUUUAAUUGA